GCAGCAUUGGAGUAGCAAUACUUCAGAUGGCGACCGGCGCACGGGUGAGUAACACGAAUCCAACCUGCCGCUUACUCGGGGAUAGCCUUUCGAAAGAAAGAUUAAUACCCGAUGGUAUAAAGAGUUCGCAUGUUCUCUUUAUUAAAGAAUUUCGGUAAGCGAUGGGGAUGCGUUCCAUUAGAUAGUUGGCGGGGUAACGGCCCACCAAGUCUACGAUGGAUAGGGGUUCUGAGAGGAAGGUCCCCCACAUUGGAACUGAGACACGGUCCAAACUCCUACGGGAGGCAGCAGUGAGGAAUAUUGGUCAAUGGACGAGAGUCUGAACCAGCCAAGUAGCGUGAAGGAUGACUGCCCUAUGGGUUGUAAACUUCUUUUAUAAGGGAAUAAAGUGAGGGACGUGUCCCUUUUUGUAUGUACCUUAUGAAUAAGGAUCGGCUAACUCCGUGCCAGCAGCCGCGGUAAUACGGAGGAUCCAAGCGUUAUCCGGAUUUAUUGGGUUUAAAGGGAGCGUAGGUUGACAUAUAAGUCAGCUGUGAAAGUUUACGGCUCAACCGUGAAAUUGCAGUUGAUACUGUAUGUCUUGGGUGUACAAGAGGUGGGCGGAAUUCGUGGUGUAGCGGUGAAAUGCUUAGAUAUUACGAAGAACUCCAAUUGCGAAGGCAGCUCACUGGGGUACAACUGACACUGAGGCUCGAAAGUGUGGGUAUCAAACAGGAUUAGAUACCCUGGUAGUCCACACAGUAAACGAUGAAUACUCGCUGUUUGCGAUAUACAGUAAGCGGCCAAGCGAAAGCAUUAAGUAUUCCACCUGGGGAGUA
rnacentral:rRNA from 1 species